CAUAUCACCCAUAUCACCCUGCAGCUCACAGCUCACAGCUGGCAGCCCACUGAAGCUUAGCAGGAUGAGCCUGGUCAGUACCUGGAUGGGAGACCUCCUGGGAAAGCCAAUGUUGCUGUGG
rnacentral:rRNA from 1 species